rnacentral:rRNA from 1 species
UAGAGUUUGAGUCCUGGCGUCAGGAUGAACGCUGGCGGCGUGCUUAACACAUGCAAGUCGACGAAGCGAUCGAGAGGAAGUUUUCGGAUGGAAUCCGGAUUGACUGAGUGGCGGACGGGUGAGUAACGCGUGGGUAACCUGCCUCAUACAGGGGGAUAACAGUUAGAAAUGACUGCUAAUACCGCAUAAGCGCACAGGGACACAUGUUCCGGUGUGAAAAACUCCGGUGGUAUGAGAUGGACCCGCGUCUGAUUAGCUGGUUGGCGGGGUAACGGCCCACCAAGGCGACGAUCAGUAGCCGACCUGAGAGGGUGACCGGCCACAUUGGGACUGAGACACGGCCCAAACUCCUACGGGAGGCAGCAGUGGGGAAUAUUGCACAAUGGGGGAAACCCUGAUGCAGCAACGCCGCGUGAGUGAAGAAGUGUUUCGGUAUGUAAAGCUCUAUCAGCAGGGAAGAAGAUGACGGUACCUGAGUAAGAAGCCCCGGCUAACUACGUG